AAGGAGAUGCAUGGAUGCGUGUGUCAGAGAGGGAGACUCCUUUCCAGUCGCCUCCUUAGGUCACUCUGGCCAGUCUGUCUAUACCAUGUGGGCAGUGGGUCUCAAGUCAGACUUAUUUUUGAAGACAUGGGUUGGUACUAGGCUGCUCUCCCAGAGAUCUCAACUGGCUUCUUUCUUGCUAUCUGUCGGAAGGCAGGACCCCUAUGCUGAAGUCUGUCAAUAAGCAAGUCCAGGACCCCAGCUGGGGAAUGGUGCUACCCAGAGUGGAGGCAUCUUCCCACAUCAGUCAAUGAAAUCAAGAUCAUCUCCCAGAGACAUGCCCAGAGGACGGUCUCCCAGGUGACAUGGCGACACUCGUCAUCUUGCAGACUGCGCUGAGAAUUGAACCUAGGACCUCAUGUCUGCCAAGCAAGAGCUCUACCGUUGAGCUACAGUUCCAGCUGUUUUCAUCUAUUUUGAAGCCUAUAAUCAAGAGUAUGUAGUUUUUGGAUAGUUGUGACGUCAUGUUGAAUUGGCCACCCAUCAUCAUUAUGAAAUGGUUUUAUUGACCUCUCAUUCUCAAAGUCUCUUUUUCUGACUUUGACAGAGUGAGCUUGUCUUUCUUGAGAUCAGUGUUAAUAAACGCCCCUCCCAUAUAUUUAGUGGGUUUUAUUAUUUUGACUCUUGCUUGUUUUUUUUUAAGACAAGGCUAGCCCCAGCUAACCUUGAACUAACAGAGACCCACCUACCUUAAUCUCCCAAAUGUGCCAUGAUGCCCAGCCCCCAAUACUUUGAUUUUAACCUGUCUGUGUCUCGGGUAUUUAAGAAGCAUUUUCUGUAGUAGCUUGUAGCAGGCUAUGGUUUUUAUAAAUUAGUCUUUGCCUUUUAAUGACAAAUGGAUAGAAAUGGAUAUGACAACAUGGAAGCCAAAUGUAAUAUGUAGACUCUUUACUUUCCAUGAGAUUUUUAAUAGAAUUAAAUUGAUUUAUGUCUACCACCCUAA